AACCUGAUUUCAGUAUCUGGAUUACCUUACAUUGUUUCUUUGCUGAGGUGAUUUAUUAAGCUUAACUAUUCUAUACCUAUAAAAUACAAACUGUCAGGUUCAUCGCCACAUUGUCACUUUAUACAUUUACGAUGUGGAAACAGAGUGGACUUUUACUGUGCUGCAUUUGUCUUUUAUUUUUUGGCAGUGGUCAAACUCAAGAGCAAUGUAAUCCUGUGUGUCCAUCCGUGCCUCCCGAUACAGCUGGUGGAAGCGCUGAGAUGUGUCAACCUGAAGGUGAACAAGGUGGAUGUGGUGUUGGACAACUGUGUUGUUCUAAUGGUUGCGGCCACGUGUGUAAACAAAUAUGCUAAUGAACCAGAUGCUGUAUUUGAUGUUGUUAUUGCUAACAAGGAAGAGAGAAAAUCUUUAAAUUUGAAAGUAGAUCGUAAAAAAGCCUCACAUCCAUUUCAUGCAUUUCGCAUUUCAGCGCUUUUUGUUAAAAUGAAAUAAAAUACAAUUGAAAAGUA